rnacentral:rRNA from 1 species
AGCGAACGCUGGCGGCAGGCCUAACACAUGCAAGUCGAACGAAGUCUUCGGACUUAGUGGCGGACGGGUGAGUAACACGUGGGAACGUACCUUUUGGUUCGGAACAACUCAGGGAAUCUUGAGCUAAUACCGAAUGUGCCCUUCGGGGGAAAGAUUUAUCGCCAUUAGAGCGGCCCGCGUUAGAUUAGCUAGUUGGUGGG